UGUUAAGAUUUUUAUCUAUUUUUACUAUUAAAAAUCGGUCCCUGUAAGUCAGCAUAAGAUACAUGUAAUAUGUCAAGUAUUACUGUUUAGUUAUUCUGUAUUUUUUAACAAUAAAAAUGAAUAAAAAUUUUAAUA
rfam:Gossypium hirsutum cultivar TM-1 chromosome 22, whole genome shotgun sequence